CCUACGGGUGGCAGCAGUGAGGAAUAUUGGUCAAUGGGCGCUAGCCUGAACCAGCCAAGUAGCGUGAAGGAUGACUGCCCUAUGGGUUGUACACUUCUUUUAUAUGGGAAUAAAGUGCAGUAUGUAUACUGCUUUGCAUGUACCUUAUGAAUAAGGAUCGGCUAACUCCGUGCCAGCAGCCGCGGCAAUACGGGGGAUCCGAGCGUUAUCCGGAUUUAUUGGGUUUAAAGGGAGCGUAGGCGGGUUGUUAAGUCAGUUGUGAACGUUUGCGGCUCAACCGUAAAAUUGCAGUUGAUACUGGCAUCCUUGAGUACAGUAGAGGUAGGCGGAAUUCGUGGUGUAGCGGUGAAAUGCUUAGAUAUCACGAAGAACUCCGAUAGCGAAGGCAGCUUACCAGACUGCGACUGACGCUGAAGCACGAGAGCGUGGGUAGCGAACAGGAUUAGAUACCCUAGUAGUC
rnacentral:rRNA from 1 species